UACGUAGGGUGCAGGCGUUAAUCGGAAUUACUGGGCGUAAAGCGUGCGCAGGCGGUUUGCUAAGUCAGACGUGAAAUCCCUCGGCUUAACCGGGGAACUGCGUCUGAUACUGGAUGGCUUGAGAUUGGGAGAGGGAUGCGGAAUUCCAGGUGUAGCGGUGAAAUGCGUAGAUAUCUGGAGGAACACCGGUGGCGAAGGCGGCAUCCUGGACCAACACUGACGCUGAGGAGCGAAAGCCAGGGGAGCAAAGCGGGAGUUAAGAUGACC
rnacentral:rRNA from 1 species